GACUCUAAGAGACUGCCGGUGUCAAACCGGAGGAAGGUGGGGAUGACGUCAAGUCCUCAUGGCCUUUAUGACCAGGGCUACACACGUACUACAAUGGCAGGUACAAAGGGCAGCCACUUAGCGAUAAGGCGCGAAUCCCGUAAAACCUGUCUCAGUCCGGAUUGGAGUCUGCAACUCGACUCCAUGAAGUUGGAAUCGCUAGUAAUCGCAGAUCAGCACGCUGCGGUGAAUACGUUCCCGGGCCUU
rnacentral:rRNA from 1 species